GGUGAAUUACCAAGUUAAUUUCUGAAUUGUCACUUAAGUAAAAAUUAGGUUUUUAAACUAUUUUUUUAGAAAAAUCAGUCAUUGAAUUAUAAAAACCUGUCAACUACAUCCCUAAUAUUAGAUUUGAAGCUACUGUAUUCAAUUUAAGUCAUGUUACUUGCAUAUGAUACACAUUGAAUGGUAGAUUGGUAAUUUUCAUAAAUAAAUUAUGUGAAAUCCCGUCCCCGGAUAUCACUAUUUAAAAUUAUGUAUUUCGUAUUCUUAGUUUUGACGCGUUUGUAUUUGCGGUGUUUAAUUUUUUUCCAAUAAGUAAAAUGACGAAAUUGCCCCUAUUGUAUUAAACAUGAUUUCUUUGCGGAUGUAUUUGAUCCUUUCAUGAUUUUUCAGAUUUCUUUACUUAUUCAAAUAAUACAUCUCAAUAGGGGUGGGUUCAAAAAACCGAAAAUCAAACCAAACCGAAAAAAAAAACCGAACCGAAAAAAAAAACCGAACCGAAACUACCAAACCGAACCGAAUUGAACCGAACCGAAAAAAAAUUCAUAUAUAAAUACUAAAAAAGACAUGUUGCCGUCGGGGUUUGAACCCUUUCCCUACGGGUUGGGGUUGGUUGUUGCAAGCCAACUUGACUGUAGGCUUUGUGUUGUUAUAAUUGUACUAGUAAUUUAUUUAUAGGUUUCUUAUGUUUAAUGCUUUAUAAAAUUUCUUAACUUUACAAACCCUAGCUGUCUCACUCCCAUUUCAUUUCAGAUCUCAAACACCUCUCUGUUCUGUCCGCUGCUUCCUCUUUGCCUUUGCUUCCUCUCUUUCUCUCUCUCUCUUCCUCCCUCUCCCUCUCCUUCCUCUCUUCCUCCAAAUCACUCUCUCCAAUCUUCUCCUGUCCUCCUCGCGGAUUCCUUCUUCCAAACCAUGAUUUUCCCUUGCCCUUUUCGAGAUCUGACAAAAAGAGGAAUUGAAAGAGCUUGCGACGAUCAUGGCUAUAUCGCUGCAACAAAGAUCUAUUGUGGACUUGACUAUGAAUUUGAAUGUGGGCACUGGGCAUGCGCUAUUGAAGUCCGAUUAUGGUAUUUAGAAGAACCCAAUUGCUUUUUUUUUUUUCGAUUUGCAUUGAUCAUUUAAUUUGUUGAGUUAUUUCAUGAUUUUGUAAAUUUUAAAGUUUUUGAAUUUUGAAUCUUGGCGAUGUACAUUUCCUUGAAGAAUAUAUGUUUAUGUAUUUGCUUAACUUUUGAAAAUUUGAAUUCGUUCUGCUUGAUCACAAGUAGUUGAAUUACUUGAAUAUAUUCAGGAUUUUGAGGCUCUCAAUUCUCUGAUAUAUGAGAACUGGGAGGUUGAUAGGUAGGUUCCUUCCAUUUACAUCAU